GACGAACGCUGGCGGCGUGCCUAACACAUGCAAGUCGAACGAAGCACUGUGGAUGGAGACUUCGGUCAACUGAAACUUUGACUUAGUGGCGGACGGGUGAGUAACGCGUGGGUAACCUGCCUCAUACAGGGGGAUAACAGUUAGAAAUGACUGCUAAUACCGCAUAAGCGCACAGUACCGCAUGGUACAGUGUGAAAAGCCGAGACGGUAUGAGAUGGACCCGCGUCUGAUUAGCUAGUUGGUGGGGUAACGGUCCACCAAGGCGACGAUCAGUAGCCGACCUGAGAGGGUGACCGGCCACAUUGGGACUGAGACACGGCCCAAACUCCUACGGGAGGCAGCAGUGGGGAAUAUUGCACAAUGGGGGAAACCCUGAUGCAGCGACGCCGCGUGAGUGAAGAAGUAUUUCGGUAUGUAAAGCUCUAUCAGCAGGGAAGAAAAUGACGGUACCUGACUAAGAAGCCCCGGCUAACUACGUGCCAGCAGCCGCAGUAACAC
rnacentral:rRNA from 1 species